CUGAAUUGACUACAAAUGGAUGAUCUGAAUAUGCACUUCAUAACCAGAACCAAAGAAUGACACAAUGAAAUCAUGGUUCAAAAGCACCCCAUAACAGCAUUGGCUAUCGUCUAUAACAUUUUUUGAAAUCAUAAAAAUAUGCCAGUAAAACAACAUUGCUCGCUCCCCAGUCUGUAGAAAGCAGACAAGAAUUUGCACUUCCAACCUAAUAAGUAUCAACAGAUAUCAAAGAAAUAUAGAUAUGCACCAACAUUGACCACUCCUUUCAUGAACUUGAUCGCUUGUCAUGUUAUCCAUCCUUCAACAGCACAUCUGAUGACUCAUUUUCACUUGAUAAUUUGCACAUUCUUUGUCUAGAAUAAAGUGCAGCCCCCGAUACAAGUAAUUCACUCAAGUGAAGGAUUGAAUACAGAAUUGACAUCACAUUGUCUACAGAUGUUAAAAACAUAAGAAACGAUCAGCAUAUCCACAUUGUAUAGUGCUCAAGCUCAAACAGUCCUAAAGGGAGUAUCAUUUAAUUUUUUGAAGGACAAAAAAACUGGACACCAUUUUACUGUACUGAACUACAACUAAAUGCAAAACCUUUCACUGCACCAUGGGAAAAGAUGGGACAUGCACGGCAUCUGAUGCAUCUAAUAACUAUAGUCCAGGGAUAUAAAAAGUAGCUGAUUCAAUAUUUAUUGACCCAGAGUAUGCUUGACUGAAAUAGUACAAUGUAUGUUAAUCAACUAAAUGGCAACUAUAGAAAGGGAAAUGUGGCUAAGAUGCAACCUUGAUGCCUGCCAUCAGUUCAUUAGUACCAACCACAUCACGAAGAGCAAGCCAUCUGGAAAAAAUCCAAUUCCCGUCACAAAAAUCCGACUUCACCUUCCAUCUUAUGCAUAAAUAGCCAAUGGCUCCCACAACAAUAACAGUUAAACAGUAGCCUACAGAGUCUGCGAGAGAAUAAUUUUGCUUCGGUCGUUAUGUAAGAAAACAAACAAGUGUUUGCUGAACUUAGCUAAAUGAAAUACCAAAAUAUAGAUUACAGGCAAACCUGCACACAUCUGCUAAGCUACAGGGCCGACAAGAGAAUGAUUUCGCUUCAGCGUGCCUUUGUGCGCCUCCUGGGUGGUCAGGUGCGCCCUUUUGCGUGAAAAGCGGACCUAUGUC
rnacentral:lncRNA from 1 species